rnacentral:rRNA from 1 species
UACAGAGGGUGCGAGCGUUGUUCGGAAUUAUUGGGCGUAAAGGGCGCGUAGGCGGCGCCACAAGUCACUUGUGAAAAACUCUGGGGCUCAACCCAGAGCCUGCAGGCGAAAACUGUGGUGCUGGAGUAUGGGAGAGGUGCGUGGAAUUCCCCGGUGUAGCGGUGAAAAUGCGUAGAUAUCGGGAGGAACACCUGUGGCGAAAGCGGCGCACUGGACCAUAACUGACGCUGAGGCGCGAAAAGCUAGGGGGAGCAAACAGG